rnacentral:rRNA from 1 species
CACUGACAUUAGAUACCCCCGUAGUCCCAGCCGUAAACGAUGUGCGUUAGGUAUGUCGGUAACCACGUGUUACUGAUGUGCCGAAGAGAAAUCGUGAAACGCACCACCUGGGAAGUACGGUCGCAAGGCUGAAACUUAAAGGAAUUGCGGGGAGCACCACAACAGGUGGAGCCUGCGGUUUAAUUGGAUUCAACGCCGGACAUCUCACCGGAUAAGACAGCUGAAUGAUUGUCAAUCUGAAGGUUUUACAUGACUAGCUG